rnacentral:rRNA from 1 species
GGUUAAGCGACUAAGCGUACACGGUGGAUGCCCUGGCAGUCAGAGGCGAUGAAGGACGUGCUAAUCUGCGAUAAGCGUCGGUAAGGUGAUAUGAACCGUUAUAACCGGCGAUUUCCGAAUGGGGAAACCCAGUGUGAUUCGUCACACUAUCAUUAACUGAAUCCAUAGGUUAAUGAGGCGAACCGGGGGAACUGAAACAUCUAAGUACCCCGAGGAAAAGAAAUCAACCGAGAUUCCCCCAGUAGCGGCGAGCGAACGGGGAGCAGCCCAGAGCCUGAAUCAGUGUGUGUGUUAGUGGAAGCGUCUGGAAAGGCGCGCGAUACAGGGUGACAGCCCCGUACACAAAAAUGCACAUGCUGUGAGCUCGAUGAGUAGGGCGGGACACGUGGUAUCCUGUCUGAAUAUGGGGGGACCAUCCUCCAAGGCUAAAUACUCCUGACUGACCGAUAGUGAACCAGUACCGUGAGGGAAAGGCGAAAAGAACCCCGGCGAGGGGAGUGAAAAAGAACCUGAAACCGUGUACGUACAAGCAGUGGGAGCACGCUUCGGCGUGUGACUGCGUACCUUUUGUAUAAUGGGUCAGCGACUUAUAUUCUGUAGCAAGGUUAACCGAAUAGGGGAGCCGAAGGGAAACCGAGUCUUAACUGGGCGUUAAGUUGCAGGGUAUAGACCCGAAACCCGGUGAUCUAGCCAUGGGCAGGUUGAAGGUUGGGUAACACUAACUGGAGGACCGAACCGACUAAUGUUGAAAAAUUAGCGGAUGACUUGUGGCUGGGGGUGAAAGGCCAAUCAAACCGGGAGAUAGCUGGUUCUCCCCGAAAGCUAUUUAGGUAGCGCCUCGUGAAUUCAUCUCCGGGGGUAGAGCACUGUUUCGGCAAGGGGGUCAUCCCGACUUACCAACCCGAUGCAAACUGCGAAUACCGGAGAAUGUUAUCACGGGAGACACACGGCGGGUGCUAACGUCCGUCGUGAAGAGGGAAACAACCCAGACCGCCAGCUAAGGUCCCAAAGUCAUGGUUAAGUGGGAAACGAUGUGGGAAGGCCCAGACAGCCAGGAUGUUGGCUUAGAAGCAGCCAUCAUUUAAAGAAAGCGUAAUAGCUCACUGGUCGAGUCGGCCUGCGCGGAAGAUGUAACGGGGCUAAACCAUGCACCGAAGCUGCGGCAGCGACACUAUGUGUUGUUGGGUAGGGGAGCGUUCUGUAAGCCUGUGAAGGUGGCCUGUGAGGGUUGCUGGAGGUAUCAGAAGUGCGAAUGCUGACAUAAGUAACGAUAAAGCGGGUGAAAAGCCCGCUCGCCGGAAGACCAAGGGUUCCUGUCCAACGUUAAUCGGGGCAGGGUGAGUCGACCCCUAAGGCGAGGCCGAAAGGCGUAGUCGAUGGGAAACAGGUUAAUAUUCCUGUACUUGGUGUUACUGCGAAGGGGGGACGGAGAAGGCUAUGUUGGCCGGGCGACGGUUGUCCCGGUUUAAGCGUGUAGGCUGGUUUUCCAGGCAAAUCCGGAAAAUCAAGGCUGAGGCGUGAUGACGAGGCACUACGGUGCUGAAGCAACAAAUGCCCUGCUUCCAGGAAAAGCCUCUAAGCAUCAGGUAACAUCAAAUCGUACCCCAAACCGACACAGGUGGUCAGGUAGAGAAUACCAAGGCGCUUGAGAGAACUCGGGUGAAGGAACUAGGCAAAAUGGUGCCGUAACUUCGGGAGAAGGCACGCUGAUAUGUAGGUGAAGCGACUUGCUCGUGGAGCUGAAAUCAGUCGAAGAUACCAGCUGGCUGCAACUGUUUAUUAAAAACACAGCACUGUGCAAACACGAAAGUGGACGUAUACGGUGUGACGCCUGCCCGGUGCCGGAAGGUUAAUUGAUGGGGUUAGCGGUAACGCGAAGCUCUUGAUCGAAGCCCCGGUAAACGGCGGCCGUAACUAUAACGGUCCUAAGGUAGCGAAAUUCCUUGUCGGGUAAGUUCCGACCUGCACGAAUGGCGUAAUGAUGGCCAGGCUGUCUCCACCCGAGACUCAGUGAAAUUGAACUCGCUGUGAAGAUGCAGUGUACCCGCGGCAAGACGGAAAGACCCCGUGAACCUUUACUAUAGCUUGACACUGAACAUUGAGCCUUGAUGUGUAGGAUAGGUGGGAGGCUUUGAAGUGUGGACGCCAGUCUGCAUGGAGCCGACCUUGAAAUACCACCCUUUAAUGUUUGAUGUUCUAACGUUGGCCCCUGAUCGGGGUUGCGGACAGUGUCUGGUGGGUAGUUUGACUGGGGCGGUCUCCUCCUAAAGAGUAACGGAGGAGCACGAAGGUUGGCUAAUCCUGGUCGGACAUCAGGAGGUUAGUGCAAUGGCAUAAGCCAGCUUGACUGCGAGCGUGACGGCGCGAGCAGGUGCGAAAGCAGGUCAUAGUGAUCCGGUGGUUCUGAAUGGAAGGGCCAUCGCUCAACGGAUAAAAGGUACUCCGGGGAUAACAGGCUGAUACCGCCCAAGAGUUCAUAUCGACGGCGGUGUUUGGCACCUCGAUGUCGGCUCAUCACAUCCUGGGGCUGAAGUAGGUCCCAAGGGUAUGGCUGUUCGCCAUUUAAAGUGGUACGCGAGCUGGGUUUAGAACGUCGUGAGACAGUUCGGUCCCUAUCUGCCGUGGGCGCUGGAGAACUGAGGGGGGCUGCUCCUAGUACGAGAGGACCGGAGUGGACGCAUCACUGGUGUUCGGGUUGUCAUGCCAAUGGCACUGCCCGGUAGCUAAAUGCGGAAGAGAUAAGUGCUGAAAGCAUCUAAGCACGAAACUUGCCCCGAGAUGAGUUCUCCCUGAGACUUUAAGUCUCCUGAAGGAACGUUGAAGACGACGACGUUGAUAGGCCGGGUGUGUAAGCGCAGCGAUGCGUUGAGCUAACCGGUACUAAUGAACCGUGAGGCUUAACCUU